UACGUAGGGGGCAAGCGUUGUCCGGAUUUAUUGGGCGUAAAGAGCGUGUAGGCGGCCAGACAGGUCCGUUGUGAAAACUAGAGGCUUAACCUCUAGACGUCGAUGGAAACCGUCUGGCUAGAGUCCGGAAGAGGAGAAUGGAAUUCCUGGUGCAGCGGUGAAAUGCGCAGAUAUCAGGAAGAACACCCGUGGCUAAGGCGGUUCUCUAGUACGGUACUGACGCUGAGACGCGAAAGCGUGGGGAGCGAACAGG
rnacentral:rRNA from 1 species